rnacentral:rRNA from 1 species
AUUGAACGCUGGCGGCAGGCCUAACACAUGCAAGUCGAGCGAGCGGCGGACGGGUGCGUAAUGUAUGGGGACUGCCCGUUAGAGGGGGAUAACUACUGGAAACGGUAGCUAAUACCGCAUACUAUCGGAUAACCCAUAUGGGAUUAGCUAGUGGGUGGGUUAAUGGCCCACCUAGGCGACGAACCCUAGCUGGUCGGAGAGGAUGAUCAGCAACACUGGGACGGAGACACGGCCCAGACUCCUACGGAGGCAGCAGUGGGGAAUAUUGCACAAUGGGAGAAAGCUUGAUGCAGCCAGGCCGCGUGUAUGAAGAAGGCCCUAGGGUUGUAAAGUACUUUCAGUCGGGAGGCGUUACCGAAAGAAGAAGCACCGGCUAACUCCGUGCCAGCAGCCGCGGUAAUUC